AGAGGAUGGGGAGAGAGAGAGAGAGAGCGAGAGAGAGAGAGAUGGGGGCAAACAGAGGGCAACCUGCGCGAUCUUGCAUGCACACGAGAAGAGCAGACAGGCACGCAGCUCAGAGAGGAGGCACGAAGAGAGCAAAAUAACUCCUCCUCCCUCUCUCUAUCCCUCUCUAUCUCCCCCUCCUUUCCCGACU